UACGUAGGCAGCGAGCGUUGUUCGGAGUUACUGGGCGUAAAGGGCGCGUAGGCGGCUCGGCACGUCCGUUGUGAAAUCGCCCGGCUCAACUGGGCGGGGUCAGCGGAUACGGUCGAGCUUGAGCAAGCUAGGGGGCAAUGGAAUUCCCGGUGUAGUGGUGGAAUGCGUAGAUAUCGGGAGGAACACCAGUGGCGAAGGCGGUUGCCUGGGGCUUUGCUGACGCUGAUGCGCGAAAGCGUGGGGAGCGAUCCGG
rnacentral:rRNA from 1 species